UGGGGAAUAUUGGACAAUGGGCGAAAGCCUGAUCCAGCCAUGCCGCGUGUGUGAAGAAGGUCUUCGGAUUGUAAAGCACUUUAAGUUGGGAGGAAGGGCAUUAACCUAAUACGUUAGUGUUUUGACGUUACCGACAGAAUAAGCACCGGCUAACUCUGUGCCAGCAGCCGCGGUAAUACAGAGGGUGCAAGCGGUAAUCGGAAUUACUGGGCGUAAAGCGCGCGUAGGUGGUUCGUUAAGUUGGAUGUGAAAGCCCCGGGCUCAACCUGGGAACUGCAUUCAAAACUGACUGACUAGAGUAUGGUAGAGGGUGAUGGAAUUUCCUGUGUAGCGGUGAAAUGCGUAGAUAUAGGAAGGAACACCAGUGGCGAAGGCGACCACCUGGACUAAUACUGACACUGAGGUGCGAAAGCGUGGGGAGCAAACA
rnacentral:rRNA from 1 species